UUUAGAAUGCCACUGAUGAUUGCUUGAAGCUUCAAAUAAAAAUUCUUCUGAUAACAUUUUCAUAAAUUAUUAUAUUCAUACUCAUUAAUGGCAACCAUGAGUUCAUUUAGUUAAAUUGAAGCGGGUCGCUCGAAAGAAGAAACGAAUGGUCACGACAUUCUAUUUUCGCGACAAGUGAGAGGACUGACUACAUCACCCCGAUGGUAACAUUCAAGAGGAUUUUCGUCCCCCUCUUCCCAUCUCAGGAGGAAUGGAGUGAAGGAUUCUCGCUGAACAGCUUCGACAAUACAGUCUAUAUACAUGGCUAAAAUAUAUUGUGGUGUUGGAGCAGGCAUUACAGGCAUUACAGUGUCUUCCAAGCAGAAGUAUUGGAAAUCGGGGAAGCUUCUGCAAUCCAGGCACUAGAUUCGGCUAUAACAACCUCUAAACUGGUGGAACAAAAUAGGAAUAGCCUUAACACCUUGAGUGAAAACCAUACCGUUACUUUAAUCUGAAACAUUGGAAUACUGAAGGUACCGAAACGGCAGAUGAACUGGCAAGAGAAGAAUUUGCCAUGAAUAACGUUCAUGCAGAAUCGGUAUUCACACCAAUUGGUGCAAUCAAGAAUACAAUUUCGUCAAAAUACCUUAGAGGAGCGGGUUG